UACGGGGGGGGGCAAGCGUUGUCCGGAAUUAUUGGGCGUAAAGCGCGCGCAGGCGGUCCUUUAAGUCUGAUGUGAAAGCCCACGGCUCAACCGUGGAGGGUCAUUGGAAACUGGGGGACUUGAGUACAGAAGAGAAGAGUGGAAUUCCACGUGUAGCGGUGAAAUGCGUAGAGAUGUGGAGGAACACCAGUGGCGAAGGCGACUCUUUGGUCUGUAACUGACGCUGAGGCGCGAAAGCGUGGGGAGCAAACAGG
rnacentral:rRNA from 1 species